UUUUUUUUUUUUUUUUUUUUUUUUUAGGAGUGUCUGAAAAUAUCUAGUAUUCUUACAUUUUGAUCGCAUCUUUAAACCUUUUUUUCCUUUUUUCAUACGACCAGACAAGACGGAUAAAUCCAGCCAAGGUAACUUUGGUAUCCCUAUAAACAAUGGAACUUCGCCGAGCCAAGUGUGUUUUCAUCAUCAAAGUCGAGAUCCCACUCGGAACAAGACGUGUUGUCAAGCUGAUGAUAUUGUGUUUCUACCCAAUAGGCUUUCGAAUGGCGAUAUCAGCAUUUUAUGCUGUACAAACAGCGUUUGCCAAGGCUUCCAACUCAACAUUGUAGAAGAUGAUAAGUCUGAUGCAAACCAUAGUGAAAGCAGUGGACAUAACUUUACCAUUGCGACUGUAAUGUCCAUUUCGCUUUAUGUAGUCAUUGGUACUGGCAUCGUCGUCAUUGCAGCUGUGUUCAUCUGGAGAAAGAGAAAAGCUUUGAGAUGUCGCCAUCACGAGGAACACAUAUACUGUGAGCCACCAGCCCUCCCAGCAAGACUGUCAUCCUUACCUCACCCUCCUCUCUCCUGGAUCGAAUGCGAACAAGAAGACGACUCUUUCGAUGACGGCAACUAUGCUGGAGACGAUGAAUUGCAGGAACUCUCUACCACGUAUUCCGACUUUGUCCCUGGAGCACACCGGUCGCUCACUAGGACGAUCUCAACGCUCAGUCGCAGAGGCCUUCGUGACUCGGAAGUGGUCUACGCGAACUUUCCGUUUACGACUGUUCUUUCAAGAAUUAAAGCGGUUGGAUGGUCCUAUUUCUGAGGAUAUUGUGUAUAUGUGGAUUCUGAGUAUAUGUGUACCUCCCAAAAAGUCAUGAUAAUGGUGCAAAAGUUGAGGACGUUUUGCGGUGGUGAAGUCGGAGACAGCUGCAAUUUAUAGUCGUUGGGCCGCUGAAAAAAAAAGAAAUUAUAUCUUCUUUAGGAUUUGAAAACGAACUUGGAUCUAAACCAAGGCCACGCACCCCCCCCCCCCGAAAAAAAUGGCCUCGACGGAAACACUAAAGAGUCUAUUUAGAUGGAAAAGCAAUGUUAAAACACCGUGGUGACAAUGUGUAUUGCGUCAUUUACUUGGAGAAAUCAGACGCUUGACAGUAUGGCAAUGUGAUUAUGGACAACCAUUGAACAAUAUUUGUUUGCCUUAUUUGAAGGAUAGCGUCAGCGAUUAAUACAGUCAAAAAUGAAUGAGGAAAAGUACUUUCUUCAAAAUAAUUAGAAAUUAAGUACCAACAAGACUGGGGUUCUAUAUGGAGGGACAUAUCCUAAUAAGGGAGUUUACAGCUAGAUAGCACAUGUUACAAAUGACCCCAAAUAUCC